UGCAGUUGUACGAGAGUUUUUAACUCAAGUGGCGGACGGGUGAGUAACACGUAAGAAUUUACCUUUAGGAGGGGGAUAACAACUGGAAACGGUUGCUAAUACCCCAUAUGCUUUCGAGUGAAAUGGAUUUUCCGCCUAAAGAGAAGCUUGCGGCUGAUUAGCUUGUUGGUGAGGUAAUGGCUCACCAAGGCGACGAUCAGUAUCUGGUUUGAGAGGACGAUCAGACACACUGGAACUGAGACACGGUCCAGACUCCUACGGGAGGCAGCAGUAGGGAAUUUUCCGCAAUGGGCGAAAGCCUGACGGAGCAAUACCGCGUGAGGGAUGACGGCCUAUGGGUUGUAAACCUCUUUUUUCAGGGAGGAAUAAAUGACGUGUACCUGAAGAAUAAGCAUCGGCUAACUCCGUGCCAGCAGCCGCGGUAAUACG
rnacentral:rRNA from 1 species